rnacentral:rRNA from 1 species
UACAGAGGUCUCAAGCGUUGUUCGGAUUCAUUGGGCGUAAAGGGUGUGUAGGUGGCUCGCUAAGUCGGGUGUGAAAUUUCGGAGCUUAACUCCGAAACUGCAUUCGAUACUGGCGUGCUUGAGGACUGGAGAGGAGACUGGAAUUCAUGGUGUAGCGGUGAAAUGCGUAGAGAUCAUGAGGAAGACCAGUGGCGAAGGCGGGUCUCUGGACAGUUCCUGACGCUGAGGCGCGAAGGCGUGGGGAGCAAACAGG